GGACUGUAGCUCAGUGGUAGAGCAUCAGCUUUGCAUGCAGGUCUCAAGUUCAAUCCUCAGCAUGUCUA